rnacentral:rRNA from 1 species
GACGAACGCUGGCGGCGUGCUUAACACAUGCAAGUCGAACGGAAAGGCCCUGCUUUUGUGGGGUGCUCGAGUGGCGAACGGGUGAGUAACACGUGAGUAACCUGCCCUUGACUUUGGGAUAACUUCAGGAAACUGGGGCUAAUACCGGAUAGGAGCUCCUGCUGCAUGGUGGGGGUUGGAAAGUUUCGGCGGUUGGGGAUGGACUCGCGGCUUAUCAGCUUGUUGGUGGGGUAGUGGCUUACCAAGGCUUUGACGGGUAGCCGGCCUGGGAGGGUGACCGGCCAAAUUGGGACUGGGAUACGGCCCAGACCCCUAGGGGGGGCAGAAGGGGGGAAUAUUGCACAAUGGGCGGAAGCCUGAUGCAGCAACGCCGCGGGCGGGAUGGCGGCCUUGGGGUUGUAAACCGCUUUCGCCUAUGACGAAGCGUGAGUGACGGUAAUGGGAAAAGAAGCACCGGCUAACUACGC